GCCGCUCUAGCUCAGCUGGUAGAGCAUUUCAUUCGUAAUGAAAGGGUCGUCGGUUCGAGUCCGAUGAGCGGCU
rnacentral:tRNA from 2 species